UGACUGCGUACCUUUUGUAUAAUGGGUCAGCGACUUAUAUUCUGUAGCAAGGUUAACCGAAUAGGGGAGCCGGAGGGAAACCGAGUCUUAAUUGGGCGUUAAGUUGCAGGGUAUAGACCCGAAACCCGGUGAUCUAGCCAUGGGCAGGUUGAAGGUUGGGUAACACUAACUGGAGGACCGAACCGACUAAUGUUGAAAAAUUAGCGGAUGACCUGUGGCUGGGGGUGAAAGGCCAAUCAAACCGGGAGAUAGCUGGUUCUCCCCGAAAGCUAUUUAGGUAGCGCCUCGUGAAUUCAUCUCCGGGGGUAGAGCACUGUUUCGGCUAGGGGGCCAUCCCGGCUUACCAACCCGAUGCAAACUGCGAAUACCGGAGAAUGUUAUCACGGGAGACACACGGCGGGUGCUAACGUCCGUCGUGAAGAGGGAAACAACCCAGACCGCCAGCUAAGGUCCCAAAGUCAUGGUUAAGUGGGAAACGAUGUGGGAAGGCCCAGACAGCCAGGAUGUUGGCUUAGAAGCAGCCAUCAUUUAAAGAAAGCGUAAUAGCUCACUGGUCGAGUCGGCCUGCGCGGAAGAUGUAACGGGGCUAAACCAUGCACCGAAGCUGCGGCAGCGAACGUAUCACUUAAAGCGAUUCAGCGGGUUACGAUUGACGGAGCGAAGCGACGUCAAAGCGUAUACAAAGUCGAGUCGGUUUAAGGAUACGUUCGUUGGGUAGGGGAGCGUUCUGUAAGCCUGUGAAGGUGUGUCGUGAGGCAUGCUGGAGGUAUCAGAAGUGCGAAUGCUGACAUAAGUAACGAUAAAGCGGGUGAAAAGCCCGCUCGCCGGAAGACCAAGGGUUCCUGUCCAACGUUAAUCGGGGCAGGGUGAGUCGACCCCUAAGGCGAGGCCGAAAGGCGUAGUCGAUGGGAAACGGGUUAAUAUUCCCGUACUUGGUGUUACUGCGAAGGGGGGACGGAGAAGGCUAUGUUGGCCGGGCGACGGUUGUCCCGGUUUAAGCGUGUAGGUGUGUGUUCCAGGUAAAUCCGGUUCACUUUAACACUGAGGCGUGAUGACGAGGCACUACGGUGCUGAAGCAACAAAUGCCCUGCUUCCAGGAAAAGCCUCUAAGCAUCAGGUAACAUCAAAUCGUACCCCAAACCGACACAGGUGGUCAGGUAGAGAAUACCAAGGCGCUUGAGAGAACUCGGGUGAAGGAACUAGGCAAAAUGGUGCCGUAACUUCGGGAGAAGGCACGCUGACACGUAGGUGAAGUGAUUUACUCAUGGAGCUGAAGUCAGUCGAAGAUACCAGCUGGCUGCAACUGUUUAUUAAAAACACAGCACUGUGCAAACACGAAAGUGGACGUAUACGGUGUGACGCCUGCCCGGUGCCGGAAGGUUAAUUGAUGGGGUCAGCGCAAGCGAAGCUCCUGAUCGAAGCCCCGGUAAACGGCGGCCGUAACUAUAACGGUCCUAAGGUAGCGAAAUUCCUUGUCGGGUAAGUUCCGACCUGCACGAAUGGCGUAAUGAUGGCCAGGCUGUCUCCACCCGAGACUCAGUGAAAUUGAACUCGCUGUGAAGAUGCAGUGUACCCGCGGCAAGACGGAAAGACCCCGUGAACCUUUACUAUAGCUUGACACUGAACAUUGAGCCUUGAUGUGUAGGAUAGGUGGGAGGCUUUGAAGUGUGGACGCCAGUCUGCAUGGAGCCGACCUUGAAAUACCACCCUUUAAUGUUUGAUGUUCUAACGUGGACCCGUAAUCCGGGUUGCGGACAGUGUCUGGUGGGUAGUUUGACUGGGGCGGUCUCCUCCUAAAGAGUAACGGAGGAGCACGAAGGUUGGCUAAUCCUGGUCGGACAUCAGGAGGUUAGUGCAAUGGCAUAAGCCAGCUUGACUGCGAGCGUGACGGCGCGAGCAGGUGCGAAAGCAGGUCAUAGUGAUCCGGUGGUUCUGAAUGGAAGGGCCAUCGCUCAACGGAUAAAAGGUACUCCGGGGAUAACAGGCUGAUACCGCCCAAGAGUUCAUAUCGACGGCGGUGUUUGGCACCUCGAUGUCGGCUCAUCACAUCCUGGGGCUGAAGUAGGUCCCAAGGGUAUGGCUGUUCGCCAUUUAAAGUGGUACGCGAGCUGGGUUUAGAACGUCGUGAGACAGUUCGGUCCCUAUCUGCCGUGGGCGCUGGAGAACUGAGGGGGGCUGCUCCUAGUACGAGAGGACCGGAGUGGACGCAUCACUGGUGUUCGGGUUGUCAUGCCAAUGGCACUGCCCGGUAGCUAAAUGCGGAAGAGAUAAGUGCUGAAAGCAUCUAAGCACGAAACUUGCCCCGAGAUGAGUUCU
rnacentral:rRNA from 1 species